UCCAUUAAGGUCAGGAUGUGGGAAGACAAAUUUUACAAUUCUUAGUUUGAGGGUGAUAAGUACACUCCUUGUUCCCUCGUUUCACCCUUGAGUUACAUUUCCCAUCACUCCAGCUUCCCACGUUCGCCCUAUGCGCUCAGGAAUCAUGCGAGCGGCAGCCUGAAACACGAGGUUUCUGGAUCAGAGACAAACUUGAUUACUCAGAGAACAUAUUUCAUCAGUCUCUCAUGCUCCAAUCCCCCAAAGGGCAAUGCAGUGGGGGCAGAAAUCACCUGUGUGUAUGUGGGGUUUGUACAAGAGAGCUUACACACCUGCUCCCGCCCUCCUCCAGAGAGGGAGAGGGACUUUUGCUUUUUAAUAUAAACAAAUACUCUUCGAGGGAUAAAGGGUGAAGGUCCCUAAAUGAAUUAUAUAAAUAGCUCCAAGGAUCUUUAUCUUUAACUCUCAAGGCUUCUUUGAAUUUCAAACAUCCCUUAAUCCAGGCACCAGCAAUGUUUGUUCAGGAAUCCUAAUCAUGUAGCAUUGUUCCUUGUAGCAGUUUCUCCUCACUCCUAUCCCACCAGCCAGACUGGAAAAUCUUAUCACUCAAAGGAAAUUGGUCAGUCAGAAGACUCUUACCUCAGCAGCGGGGAUUAAUUAUCCCUGGAAUAAAUAUCGUUAUGGUCAUACCUGAAAAUUUUAAAGCAACGCCUGAAAUGAUCAAAGUAUUUCCAACAGGAAUACAAAAGUAUCUAGGACCUAGCAAAAUUCAUAAUAUCUAUCAUCCAAUUAAAUAAUUGCCACACAAUAGAGAAAUAAAAAAAAAAAUCCUCAAUAAGAAGAAAAAUUAAAAAUUGAAACUGAUCCACACAUAAAUGUUUCAAUUAGCAUAUGAGCACUUGAAAAAAGCCUUUAUAGCUAUAUUCCAUAAGUUCAAAAAGCCAGAGGAAAAUGGAACAUUAUAAGCAUGGGAGACAUUAAAAAUUGCCCUGAUUGAAAUUCUAGAGGUGAAAACUAUAACACAAAAGAUGAAAAAUGUACUUGAUGGAAUUCAUAGCUGACUAAGCAUAGUGGACAAAAAGAUUAGUGAACUUGAAGACAUAAUAGGAACUAGUCAAAAUGAAAUAGAAAUAAAAGCCUCAUUAAAAAAAACACAAAAAACAAAUAAACAGAUCAUCAGUGAGCUAUGCAACAAUUUCAAGCAACCUACCAUAUGUGUGAUUGGAGCUGCUGGAUGAGAAAAAAGAGCAAGGAGAGUAAAGAAAAAAUAUUUGCAGAACGAAUGGCUGAAAAUGUCCCAAAUUUGAUGAAAAUUAUAAACUCUCAGAUCCAAGAUGCUCAAUAAACCCCAAGCACAAGAAACAAAGAAGAAAACUAUAACAAGGCAUAUAAUACAUAUCUUAAAAUCAGCAAUAAAGAAAAUAUCUUGAAAGCACCCAGAGUAAAUACACAUUUUAUCUACAGAGGAACAAAGAUGAAGAUGACAGCAGAUUUCUCUUGGAAACAAUACUAGUGACAAGACACUGGAGCAGCAUUCGUAAGGGACUGAAAGAAAAAAACUGACAACCUAGAAUUCUAUAUCCAGUGAACAUAUAUUUCAAAACAAAAGCUCAAAGGUCAAGAAGAGAAAAGCGUUUUAAUUACAUUUUACUAUAGUCAGACUUAUCAAUUGUCUUGCAUAGUUUGUGCUUUUCAUCUUGUAUAAGAAAUCUUUCCUCACCAUUCCCAAAGACGUGAAAAUAUUCUUUUAUAUUUUCCUCUAACAAUAUUCCCAAU
ensembl:lncRNA